CCUACGGGGGGCUGCAGUGGGGAAUCUUGGGCAAUGGGCGCAAGCCUGACCCAGCGACGCCGCGUGGGUGAUGAAGGCCUUCGGGUCGUAAAGCCCUGUCGGGUGGGAAGAACGGCAGGGGGGCGCAUAGCCUUUCUGUGUGACGGUACCACCGAAGGAAGCACCGGCCAAUUCCGUGCCAGCAGCCGCGGUAAGACGGAAGGUGCGAGCGUUGCUCGGAAUCACUGGGCGUAAAGGGUGCGUAGGCGGCUUCGUGAGUCGGCUGUGAAAGCCCC
rnacentral:rRNA from 1 species